UUCAGACGAUGCGUCAUGCAUAUCAAUAAGCGGAGGAAAAGAAACUAACAAGGAUUCCCUUAGUAACGGCGAGUGAAGCGGGAAGAGCUCAAAUUUGAAAUCUUCAAGGUUUUACCUUGACGAAUUGUAGUUUAAAGAAGUGUUUUCUGUUGAAGUUUUGGUAAAAGUUCUUUGGAAUAGGACAUCAUAGAGGGUGAGAAUCCCGUAUUUGACCAUUAUUUUCAGCUGUGUGAUACACUUUCAAAGAGUCGGAUUGUUUGGGAAUGCAGUCCAAAAUGGGUGGUAAAUUUCAUCUAAAGCUAAAUAUUGGCGAGAGACCGAUAGCGAACAAGUACCGUGAGGGAAAGAUGAAAAGAACUUUGAAAAGAGAGUUAAACAGUACGUGAAAUUGUCAAAAGGGAAGCGUUUGACACCAGUGUUGUUUUCUCGAAAAUCAAUUAAAAAGAGUUGGAUUUUGUGUUGUAUUGACUUUAUCAGCCUUCUGCACUUUUUUCUUGUCUUUAUUAAUGCACUUUUCGUUUAACAAGUCAACAUCAAUUUCUUUUGUUGUAAAAGGGUCAUUGGAAGGUGGCUUUCUUUUCGGAGAAAGUGUUUAUAGCCUUUGGCCUCUGCAAUCGGAGAGAUUGAGGUCUGCAGCGUAGAUCCUUCGGGGUUAGAUACAUUUGUGCUAAGUUAUAGCCUUUUCAUAGACAACUUGUUGACUAUGAUUAGGUCAUUGUAGCUUACUCGCUUAGUGCUAUUUUACCUACGCUUAGGAUGUUGAUAUGCAUGACUGAUAU
rnacentral:rRNA from 1 species